AUUGAACGCUGGCGGCAUGCCUUACACAUGCAAGUCGAACGGCAGCAUGAUCUAGCUUGCUAGAUUGAUGGCGAGUGGCGAACGGGUGAGUAAUACAUCGGAACGUGCCCUGUAGUGGGGGAUAACUAGUCGAAAGAUUAGCUAAUACCGCAUACGACCUGAGGGUGAAAGUGGGGGACCGCAAGGCCUCAUGCUAUAGGAGCGGCCGAUGGCUGAUUAGCUAGUUGGUGAGGUAAAGGCUCACCAAGGCGACGAUCAGUAGCUGGUCUGAGAGGACGAUCAGCCACACUGGGACUGAGACACGGCCCAGACUCCUACGGGAGGCAGCAGUGGGGUAUUUUGGACAAUGGGGGCAACCCUGAUCCAGCAACGCCGCGUGUGUGAAGAAGGCCUUCGGGUUGUAAAGCACUUUUGUCCGGAAAGAAAUCGCAAUUACUAAUAUUAGGUGUGGAUGACGGUACCGGAAGAAUAAGGACCGGCUAACUACGUGCCAGCAGCCGCCGCAGUAA
rnacentral:rRNA from 1 species